UACGUAGGGGGCGAGCGUUGUCCGGAGUUACUGGGCGUAAAGAGCUCGUAGGUGGUUUGUCGCGUUGUUCGUGAAAACUCACAGCUUAACUGUGGGCGUGCGGGCGAUACGGGCAGACUGGAGUACUGCAGGGGAGACUGGAAUUCCUGGUGUAGCGGUGGAAUGCGCAGAUAUCAGGAGGAACACCGGUGGCGAAGGCGGGUCUCUGGGCAGUAACUGACGCUGAGGAGCGAAAGCGUGGGGAGCGAACAGG
rnacentral:rRNA from 1 species